GCACGCGGCCCACUGGCGGGUACACCCCGGCCUCAGCUGAACCACCGCCCAGGGUGUCGUACCAAGUGACCCAUCAGGGCGAGCCUCUGAACGGCAGCUUGAUCCCUGGCUGUCGGGAGGAAGAGACCAAGGGCGAAUACGCUAGGCCAGAUUGCUGAGCAGAUAAAUCAGGGUGGUGCUGGGGAGGCUCCCGGGAUCUGUUCCCAGGGCCCGUCGGGUGCUUCCAGGAGCAUCCGCUGUAACCCAAGAGGUGAAUGGGCGAGGGGUCCUGAGAAAACCGUGAGCAAAGGCUCCGGCAGCAAAGUGGUUGGCUUGUUGAGAUCACUGGAACCAGGCGAGUUAGACGUAGGUGUGCUGAGAAAGGUGGAUAGCUUCCCUUCCAGUGCUUAAGUGAAGUUUAAAUAGUUAGGAAAUUAGAUAUAAAGGACACAGGGUUUUGCUUGGGAGUAGUGGCACAUAAAAGAGACCGGCCUAGUUCCAAGACAUACUAAGCUGUAGAAUAGCCCCUAUCUCAGAGUGGGUGUGGAGGAUUGUUCGUGUGUCCCUUAUGAUCCCUGUCUUGGGAGACCAGAAGGAUCAGGUGAUAGUUAAUCCUUGGCUGCGUAGUGAGUUCAAAGCCAACCCAGACCCUGUCUCACAAAAAGAAAAGAAAUUAGAGAUUCGGUUAGCCCUUUUUAUCAGAGAUAAUUGACCAUCCUAAGGAAAAUAUGACCACAGCAGUCCAUUAUCCACUGUAUAUGCAGCAAACCCCUUCAGAGAUGACACAGUCACUUGAAGUCAAGAGCUUGAGACGAGCUUCAAUGUUUUUUAAUACAGAGAUACAUUAAAAUAUAUGCUUUGUGAGACAGCAUCUCUCUAUAGAACCCAGCCUGCCCUAGCACACCUAAUCUCCCUGCCUUAGCUUCCCCAGAGCUUGGAUUAUAGGCUUAGGCUGCUGAGCCCAGCUCUAUUAUAUUUAAAGCAAUACCAUCUGAAUACCAAGAGAAAUCCAGUAUUGCCAAUAGAAAGCAAGAUUUACAGCUGUCACAUGCAGCCAGCGCUGUGGUGUUCAGCGACACCAACCUGUUCUGUCCCCCUUCCUGUUCCUCUUGAUGGGACUCUCGGACUUCCAUCUUUCUCUAAUGUCUGGACGCCCGGUGGGGUGGUGAGCAUAAAUGCAAACAGUUUUCUUUCCCUUAGAAAGUUAACGUAUCUCUCCUGACUUCCAUUAAAGCCAGCCAUAGUGUUUUAUAGCAGUCAAGGGAGUCCAUGAUGUUAAGUCUUUGUAGUAUCUUAAAAGAGAGGUCAGGGAUGAGCUAGUUACAAGAUUUUAGGGAUUUGGUUUAUGGCAGGUCUUUCAUCGAGGGGACUUGACUGGGACAGAGUGGUGUGUAACGGUUUAGGAUGGGAAAGGGGAGAGUUUUGAAAGAAGCCUAGGCGAGUUGAAUGUUGGGUAAACCCAGUAAUCUUACUGAGCUGGUGGCUGCUUACCCUGAUGAGUUUGGUCACUUACGUAUUCUUUCCAAAAAUAGACUUUGAGGAAGUCCCUGCCUGAAAGUGCGAUAAGGUAUUUGCAAAUUCAUCUUCCUGGAUGAGAAUUUCUUGAAGUUAGUCAUGUGUACAAGCCAGGUGUGGUGGUGAGUGCUUGUCAUUGGGGCACUCUGCAGGCUGAGACAGGAGAAUCUUGAGGUGAGGUCAACCCUUGGGGUUCCAAAGCAGGCAGGCAAUCAAGCAAAGAGAUGGUAAUGGGGAGUGGAAAUGACUGCAUUUUAUUAUAUACGUGUGUGAAAUUGUCCAGGAAUUUUUAGGAAGAGAGAGGUCACGUUUGUACGCACAGCCAAAUUGUGUUCUGGGUAAUACAGCCAGGCUUAUUUUAAUCCUAUUGUAUGAGCGUUAACGUGAGUGGAGUCCAGUUCCCGUAAGGUUUGGUUUAUUUUGAAAGGGGUUGUUUUGAAACACAUGUCUGAGCAGCCCCAACUGGCCACAACAAAUUCAUGAUCGUGCUACCUCAGUCUCCCCAAUGCUCCACACCCAGCUUCUCCAAAUAGCUUUGGAAGCCGCAUAUGACAAUCAUUUAAUGAGUAGGCAAAUCAUUUUCGUGAGUCAUGACCAACAAAUUUCAUUAGAAGAACAAGAACAAGAUGAAUAAGGGGACAUCCCCUAUAAACAAGAAGGGUAACAAGGAAGCCUGCAGCUUUGGGCUACAUUACAGCAAAUCAAAAUGCCACCAGAAAGAAGCCAUGCCAUUAAUCUUUGUACUACUAAGAAUAAAACCAGGGCUUGGGGACUGGUGAGUGGCUCAGUGGUCAAAGCAGACUCGAUUCCCAGCACCGAAAUCACAGCUCACAGCCAUCUAUAGCUCUACUUCCAAGGGAUCCAACCCUCCUCAGACACAUGGUACUAUACAGGCAUGUGAGACAAAAUAACCAUGUACAUAAAACUUUUAAAAAUCUCACCAGGUGGUAGUGGCAUACACCUUUAUUCCCAGCCCUUUGGAGGCAGACGUAAGCAGAUCUCAAAGUGUUUUUUUUUUUUUUCUAAAGAAUUAUGAGUACACUGUUGCUGUCUUCAGACACACCAGAAGAGGGCAUCAGAUCCCAUUACAGAUGGUUGUGAACCACCAUGUGGUUGAUGAGAAUUGAACUCAGGACCUCUGGAAGAGCAGUCAUUGCUUUUAACCACUGAGCCAUCUCUGCAGCCCAGACCUUUUGAGUUUUAAGUCCAGUCUGGUCACAGAGUAAGUUCUGGACAGCUAGGGCUACAUGAUGAGACCCUACCUCAAAAAGGCAAUAAAUAAAAUCUUAACAAAAUGUCUCAUUGCUUUGUUCUGAUUUCAGGCUGUUAAAAUGAACACAGCAUUGAGAUGUAAGGCAUUGGAUCACGGGAAAUGAAUUUGGUUUUUGUUCAUUAUUGCUAGGAGGGUUUGAAGGCUGUGGUGGAAGUGUGCGGGAGAGGCUAAGCAUGGCUGAAAGGGCGGAAUCUGAGUACUCUGAGGUGUCAUGGGCUACCUGUACAAGUCGAGCUGUGAUGGGACAGUUACAAAGAGCAUGGGACACCAGGGAAAGCAAGAGAGGGUCUUGCCUGGCUCAAGUUGGUUGGCAGGACAAAAGACAUUCUCAAAUGACAGAAUAUAAGAAGGCCUGAGCCUGCAGACAGGCCACAUGGGAAGCUGAAGUACCGGAGGCCUGAGAGAGUUGGCGGCAGAGGCUUUGGUUGCCCUGCCAACAAUUUUAGCCAUUAGUCAUGCUAAUGACAUCAGGCAAGGAAUUUAGGUGACGAAGCUAAUUGUGGAUGGUGGCAAUGAUGACGACAAUGUUGUGUGAUGAAGGCCAUAGAACCCAAGGCUUCGGAACGCUUAGCAGGCCCUCUGCUGCUGGGCUCCCAAUUGCCCCAGCCCACACCUAGCUCUUUGAACUGAAAGGGCUGACGUCAAUAGCAUUAAUGGGAAGGCAGAUUGAUAAGCAGAAGACAGAAGACCCUGAAAGGGCAGGAGAAUCUAUUGUUUCUGCUCAACUUUCCUCAUUCUGCUAAACAACAGAUGCUCAGAAAAGCCACACACCUGAGGUAAUGCUCUGCCUUGUGACUUUCCUGGUCAUUCCUGUUUUGAAGUCAGGUGAGACAAAGGAGUAUGGGGUGAGCAGAGGAGACAGAGGCCAUAUGUCCACUGUCUCACCACUCCAUUAGAACAUUCUCCAUGCCCACAGCACAGGUUGCUGAUGGAGCUGCAGGCAUCCCAGCAACAGCUGAUAAGUCCUAGGGAGUGAGCGAUCAGCCCCUGAAUGAGGAGGGAGCUUGCACCUCCCAGAGGCCAUGCUUUCCAGUAAAACUGAGACUGAAGUGUGCUGUCACAGCCACUCUUGCUUUGUUUCCGGUGUUAGCCAAGAACCUGUCCUGAUUACACCUUUAACCAGUCCCUUGUUUAGCUCCGGAGACUCUUGGUAGAGUGUGUAUCAAGAGGCAAGACAAUAAGGGGUGAGGAGGUUUUGUGCACCUUAUCUGCUACCCUGAUCAAAACAAAAUGUAAAAAUGUUUGAACUGAGACAGAAACUGUCAUGCUGGCAAGCACACAGAGAGGGUAAAUGCUUGGGUUUGCACGCAGAGUUAACUCUCCUACAGCAUAAAAAUAAAACUUUCUCUAGAAUCACAUUAAUAAAUUGAAAAGGAAAGAGGUGUUUUGUUUUAUUUUUAGGAAAGAGGUUUUUAAUACCAUAGCUUUUUUAAAAUUGCAAACACUGACCUCCAUAGCCAAGCUUAGCUUUUCUUUGUUAUGCCAUUUGAACAAAGGGCUUCAGAAAUUGACCAGCAUUGCUAGCAAACCAUCCCCCACCUUCAGCCUGGCAUCUCCCCAGCCCCAGAAGAAGGGGGGUCAAAGAAAGACGCCCCACCCUGCGGGCACUCCCUCACUUCCUGAGCAAGCCAGAACAGACUAGCUGUGCUCUGCACUGAGGAUCGGAGGCUGCCUCCCAGCCAGCUGCCCCACUUGAGGCACACUUCCUGUAGUAAACACUAGAUGGGCUUCAUUAUUCUGGGGUUAGGUGAGGAGGAGGAACCCAGCUGAGUAUUUAUAACAUGGUGUCUGAGGGAGACAGAUUAGACAUUACCUCCUAGAAGUCCUCUCAGUCACAGUAAAGACUGUCUUCCAAGCUCAGGAAAGCCAGCACUCUCUAGUAGGGUGUUAAGACUGGGGGAAAUACAAGUUAUAAGACUUGCCUUGAUCACGAUGUCUGUUCACAGCACUAAAAACCUAACUAAGACACCAUCUGAACUGUGGCCUUUUUACUUUAGAGCCCUGGUGAGUCUGCUAGACCCUCUUUUCAGGUUUUGCAGAAGAAUUUAAUGCAUGCUUCUGAAUAAUGCUGCUUUACUCUCUUGAACAAAGUCAUGCUUUCAGCUGUUAUAUUAGUUAGGGUUCUCUAGAGUCACAGAACUUUUCUUUUUCUUUUUUUUUUCUUUUUUUUCGGAGCUGGGGACCGAACCCAGGGCCUUGCGCUUGCUAGGCAAGCGCUCUACCACUGAGCUAAAUCCCCAACCCCAUCACAGAACUUUUAUGGGUAGUCUCUAUAUAGUAAGGGAAUUUAUGACUUACUGUCUAUAGUCCAACUCCCCAACAAUGAUCAGCAGCAGCUGUGAAUGGAAGUCCAAGGAUCUAGUAGUUGCUCAGUCCCACAAGACAAGCAGGCAAGGAAGAGUCUUCUUCCAAUGUCCUAUGUAGGUCUUCAGCAGAAGGUGUGGCCCAGAUUAAAGAUGUAUACCACCAUGCCUGGAUCUGGGACUUGCUUUGUCUCGGAUGACCUUGAACUCAGAGAUCUCCUUGCCUUAAUCUUCUGGGGUUCAUAGCCACUAUGUCUCAAGAUCUGGAUCGUAGGUGAGCCUUCCAAUUCUGGAUUGUAGUUCAUUCCAAAUAUAAUCAAAUUGACAACCAGGAAUAGCCAUUACAGCUGUGUACUCUCCUUCUUAGAAUGGAGGCUGUUGUAUUUAGCAAACAAUGUUAACUCAAGCUCUCUUCUUGGAACAAAGCAUGGCUUCCAGCUCACCUUGAGCACAGUUCACACUAACAGCCUCAAAGAAAGAUUGAGUCUAUUUGCCGUCCUCCAGUCAUCCACUUGUCCAGCUCUGUGCAGUUUCACUUUUCUUCAGCUUCGAUACAUGGGCUAGGAGUUCAUUGCCUUGCCCCGUGACUCUGCUACGCAAGAUCAUCCGUUGUCUGAGAGUCUCACACCCUGUAAUUCAGGAGAGCUCUACUCUGAAAGCCCCAGGAGCUGCCAGUGUCCAUCUCGUGUCCUGAUACCACCAGCAUCGUUCACCAAACUUGUGGAUUGGCCCCACUGCUGCCACUGAUUGCCUUUAGGCAAGUGGUCUCAUCAUGUCUUAGGACAGCUCUCUCUUACAGAGCCAUUCUGAGGUUUUCAUCAGCUACUGUGUGGAAAGUACCUGAAGCAUAGAAGAGAAGCAUCUGGGGUGUUCAAGUCCCAGCCAGGAACCUAUUCUUCCCACCAUGGCUUCGGGAAGUUGGCCAGGUCUCCCUUCACUCCCUGUAGUCAUUCAACAGUUACUCUUUCUUUAAGUACCUACUUUAUCUAAGGUAGAAUAUUUUCCCAGAGCCAGGAUCCAUAUCUGUAACAUACAACACAAGCAGCCUGAGUUCGAUGCCCAGCCAUGGGAGAGGGCGGAUGAUAAAACAACUUCUCCACACUUUCUGGGUUAACUUAGUUGGGAAGUCGUUUCCAGCGUUUAAUGUAUCGAUUGAUUUUUAAAGUGUGUUGUGUAUUGUUUUGCACUUAAUUACUUCUCAAAGACAAGAUGAAAUAGUGCGGCCUGACACAUACAUGCCCAAGCUUGUUGCUCAGGGACAAAGGGCCAAACAGUCUACCUGCACCUCUCCCUGGAAGGAAGGUGUGUUUCUGCUCCCUGGGAAGCAGCUCUGCCUUUUGCUCUCAGCCAGGAGAGGGAGAAGGAAGGUCACAAAGAAUGGAAGAAAAGCACUGGGGCGACGCCAGGGUGACUGGCACUCUCCUUCCCAGCAUGCAGCACCACUGUGUUCAUUUUUCCAAAGGCAGCUUUUCAUGCUCUGUAGUUUAGCCCAAGGUCCAUUUGAGCAAAGAGAAAUCUGUUCUACGUUUAGAAGCCUUUGUUGAAGGGUUACGGAUACGACUUCGGAAGCAAAGACAGAAGGCUAAAUAUUCUUGGGGGAGGGGGGCAGGAAACAUUUGCAAAAUGACUUAGCUGGACAAGAAGGCAGGAAAGAAUGACAAGGAAGAAAAUGGCUCCUUCCUGCCUCCCUCGGUGACUCAGUCCCAGGCCUGGUACAGGGACGCUGAGGAAUCAUCUUCCAUGAUAGUCAAAGAAGUUUAGGAACAAAGGGAAGGAGGUGGAAACUAAAUUUUUUUUUUCCAGCAGAGAGAGGUGGUGGUGGGUUUUCAGUUUUUUGGUUUUCAAUUUUUGAGACAGCAUCUCACUAUAUGGUCUAGAUAAAUCUCAAACUUUCAGAUCCUCCUGCUUCACCUCCCCUGUGCUGGGAUGACAUGUGCACUAGCCCCCACCCUCCUUCCUUUUGAAACAGGUUCUCUAAUAAGUUGCCCAGGCUGGCCUUGAACUCUCUAUAGCGGGGUCAGGCCUUCCUUCUUCAGUAAUUGAGAUGACAGGCCUGCGUCCCUAGGCCCAAUGGAAUCGAUGUUUGUGGUGCUGGGGAUGAGCCCAGACCUCACUCAUGGUUGUCAAGUGCUUUUUUCCCACUGAGCUCUGCUUCUACCCAUGAACAGUUAACACUGUGUAGAAACUCAAAAGACUGAUGUGCUCAGUGAGGCACAACUGAAGGCCCAUCUAGCUGUAGUGACAUCAGUGUCCCACUCUUGCCCCACCGUUCUUUGCUUUUAAAUACAUAUAUGAGUGUUUUGCCUUGUAUAGCUGUGCCCUGUGCACGCACAGUGCUUAGAAGAGGGCGUUGAAUGACUGGAGAGGAGGGAGAAAUGAAGGUUUGAGAAAAUGCCUCAAUAGGAGUUGCUGUAGGCAGGCCUGUAGGACAUUUUCCUAAUUCGUGAUUGAACUGGGCCCAUGGUGGGUGGUGCCAUCUCUGGGCAGGUGGUCCUGGGUUCUAUAAGAAAGCAGGCUGAGCAAGUCACGGGAGCAAGCCAGUAAGCAGUGUUCCUCCAUGGCCUCGCUUCAGUUCCCGCCCAGAUCUGUCCAUGCUUGAGCUCCAGUCCUGAGUUCCUUUGAUGAUGAACAGUGAUGCAGAAGCACAAACCAAAUGACCCUCCCUCCCCAAUAAACCUGGGCCACAGUGUUUCAUCAGAGCAAUAGAAACCCUAAGAAUUGGCCCCAAGUCCUCUGAAUAAGCAGCCAGUGCUCUUCACCCAGACAUCCCUCCAGCCCAUUGCCCCAUUCUUAUGACUCCCACAUUUUAUUGCCUCAGGAAAGAUAAAGCUCGACUGGCUGCUUUCAGCCUUGUCUCCCACUGGAGACUCCUAGAGAGCCAGGAUUGCAAACCAAAUGGAUUUUCAUCAUCUCAGCACCAGCAGUGGGUGGCUCUUUCCUAUGCUUCUUCAAUCAUCCAGUAUUCUUUUUGAAAAAGCCUUUUUAAAAUGUAUUUAGGACUUACGGAGAAGUUGUAUACUUAGGCUGGGGGUGUGGCUUCCUAGUAGAGUAUUUGCCUAGCAUCCAAGAAGCCCCAGGUUCAAAUGAUGCUACUGUAAAAGGGGCAGGGAGCCUGGAGAGAUGGCUCAGCCAGUAAGAGGACUCGCUCCUUCUGCACAGGACCAGGCUUUGGCUCACCCACGUGGUAGCUCACGGCAAUCCAUAAUGACAGUUCCAGGGCAUCUGACACCCUCUUUUGACAUUGCCUGUACCAGACAUGCACAGAGUACACACACACACAUGCAGAAAGAAAAAAAAAACUCGUGCACAUAAAUAUAAAAAGAAAUGAGGAAAAACUGACCACAUAGCAUAAUGGUUUCCCCCCUAUGGGUUUUACUUAAGUGCUCCACGGUUUUGCUACCAGUCAAACGUCAGUUUUCACCUGAACAAUUAAAGAAUAAGUUGCUGGCCUGACCCCUGUGGUGAGUAUUCAGACCACUGGCUAACUCUUCCUUUGAGCCAUCAGGACUGUGGUUGUAUAUGGCUGUCACAACCAUUUCUUUUAGCAUUUGUCUUAUCUACAGACAGCAACCUUGCCUCUGCAGAGACACACACCUUUCCUCAGUGGCCCAAACCUAUUGACAAGUUACAGCAAAAAUAGAGCCAGGAACGUCUGCCCUGCACAGGAUGGUGGUAUGGGCUGUUCUGUUUAAGGCCUCCCUGGUGGGGUUAGCUCAGGCCAUCCGCCUGCCCUCAUUUCAACCCCUCCUGCUCAAUCCUGUUUCCUUCCCCUCCCUCCGGUCCACAGAUGUUGAUUCCAACGCUCUCUCUCUAAUAAAAUAUCCUGAGCACUGAAAUCUGUCUCAGUCUGCUUCCUGAAAAAUCCAAACUCAUGCAGUUGGAGCCUGGGGAAAUCUGACAAGUGAGAGACCAGACUGGGUUUGAAGCUGGCCCAUUCACUGGCAAGACCACAGGUGUCAAUUUCAAAGGCACUCCCUAAUAAACAUCCUGGAUGCUAAACUCUGACUCAGAGGCUCCUUCCUGUGGAGUCAAAGCUCUGAAGACGCCCUGUUGCCCCUGUAAUGUGUUUUUCUUACUAUGAGAACGCUCACAGCAUUCCAGAAAAACCAUCUAAACUGGGAAUUUAACACAUUUGCAGCUGAUCUCCAGACUCCAUUGAAGCCGUCGAAGGUCUUAAUAGGAGAGGCCCUAUUUGGAGGUGUUGCCUUGUUGGAGUUGGUGUGUCACUGUGGGCGUGGGCCUAAGCCCCUCACCCUAGCUGCCUGCCAGUCAGUCUUUUGCCAGCAGCCUUCAGGUGAAGAUGUGGAACUCUCAGCUCCUGCACCAUGUCUGCCUGGAUGCUGCCAUGCUCCCGCCUUGAUGAUAAUGGACUGAACCUCUGAACCUGUAAGCCAGCCCCAAUUAAAUGUUGUCCUUUAUAAGACUUGCCUUGGUCAUGAUGUCUGUUCACAGCAGUCAAACCCUCACUAAGACAGGGGGCUUUGUGUGUGUGUGCAUGUGUGUGUGUGUGUGUGUGUGUGUGUGUGUGUGUGUGCACACGCGUGCGUGCAGGCCUAUAGGUAACUUUUGGUAUUGUCUUAUUCUGAGCCACGGUCUCUCAUUGUUCUGGAACCCUCUAAGUGGGGAAGACUGACUGGAGAGCCUCAGGAUCUCCACCUCCCCAGCUCUGAGAUUACAAGUGGACACCACCAUGCCUGACUUUUCCACAUGGGACCUGGGGAUCUAAUUCAUAUCCUCAUGCUUGCAAGGCAAGCACUUUGCUGACCAGGCUGGCCUCCUAGUCCCAGUGAUAUCUUUAUAGUGAAAAGAUCCUUCCUGAACCAUAUCAACGUUUACAUGGCACAACUCUCCAGUUGGGUCUUGUUUUCUGGGUCUUUUUUUUCUAUCAGUUUUAUGAGAAUUAACAUGUACAUGUAUGUGUACAUGUAGUACAUGAGGACAACUUUGUGAAGUUAUGGAAUUGGUUUUCUCCUUCCACCUCUGUAUGGGCUCUGGGGAUUGCAUCCUGAGUAACACUAUAUACUGAGCCAUCUCACCAGCCCCUCCAGUCUUUUUCAACAUUGAAUCUUUUUGUUUUUAAUUUAUUUUAUUUAUGUGAAUGCACUGUAGCUGUCUUCAGAAACAUCAGAAGAGGGCAUCGGAUCCCAUUACAGAUGAUUGUGAGCCACCAUGUGGUUGCUGGGAAUUGAACUCAGGACCUCUGGAAGAGCAGUCAGUGCUCUUAACCUCUGAGACAUCUCUCCAGCCCCCAUUGAAUUAUUUUUUAGUCACCUUUUACUUUACAUACUAUUCACAUGUGCAGUAUAAUAUAACACUCACAUACAAAGCACCCCAGGCUGGUCUUAAACUUCUGCCUCUACUUCCCAAGUGCCACAGGUGAGCCCCACCAUGUUUGGCCUUCUUUGGUGUUCAAGACCCAACAGUUUUCAAUAGUCAGUAUAGGCGACUUCUUUCUGUAGGAUUUAUUUUAAUUAGGCUUAUAUUGCAACAUAGAAGCUGUAGAGAUCAGAUCUGUGGUGACAGAUUCCACUGGUUGUUGCACCUGCCACACCUCCUACGUGUUGCACCCCGGGUCUCUUCAGGUGCCAUGCUUUGCAAGCACGGAAUGCCAUCUUCCAGGGUACAGAAACACAAAGAAUCAAAAGCCGGAAUUUUAUCACAAUUAGAAUCAGGUCGUGCACCUUGGGUCAAACUACCAGAGAAGCCACUUCUCAUUGCACCCUAGCAGGUGACACAUGACACUAAUUUGUUCCAUCACCAAUGUGGGUAACUGUGGUCACUUGAUUAGCUGUUGAAUCCCACUGUGAAAUGAUUUUUCCCCCUUUGUAAUUAAGCAUUUGUGGGAACAUUAAAGCUAUGUGAAUAUCCUAGGCUCCAUCAGACUUCAGUGUACUUAUCCACUCCUUCACGUCUGCGUUGGUUGAAGGACUCCUAUUUCAGUAGGGUUAUAAUUCAUCACUCCAUCAUUGUUUAUUUGGCUGUUUAUUUAUUUGGUUAUGGGACCAGGUGGAGCAGACCUGGAGCAAGAGUAGGGCCAAGGAGUGCCCCAAACCCUGGAGAUCUCAUCCUGAGGUCAGCAGGAAUAGGAUGGACAGCCCCCUGCCCCAGGCUUGCACGUCCUGGUGAAUGUAGUCCUGUGUCCCCCACCCUUGCUUCUCUACAGGAGGUUAGGUAGCCAAUAGGCAGGUUAAACUCCCUUUCCUUGUAUAAGAUCAUGUCCAGCAGCACCUGGAAUCCCUCCUCAUGUAAAUGAAGCAUCCCCAGCAUCCUGGUCCCCUACAGUCAUGAUGUACACUCACCCUCAACCCUCUACUCACCCACCAAACGGUUAAUAGCCUUUUCCCACCCAAUAAGUGGAACCAGUUCUUCGAAUCUGUGUGUGUGUGUGUGUGUGUGUGUGUGUGUGUCUGUGUGUCUGUGUGUCUGUGUGUUUACCCACAUACUCACCCACCGACCGAGAUCCUGUUGGCACCCACCCUGGCCACCUAAUCUUCUCUCCCUCUAGCCCAGCCCAGUGCAAAAUGAGCCUGGCUAUCCCAAUUGGGAGAGUUGGACACAGGCUAGUGUUUGGUUUUGUUUUACCUUGUUUGUCAAGACAGAGUCUUUCUGUGUAGCCCCAGCUGUUCUGGAAUUGACUCUGUAGACCAGGCUGGCCUUUAAUUCACAGAGAUCCACCUGCCUCUGCCUCCUGAGUGUUGGGAUGGGAUUAAAGGUGUGUGCCAGCCACCGUGCCUGACUUCACUGUCUUAACUUUCCAGUUUCCUCUUCUGGCCAGCCGUAGCUCCUGCAUGUUGGCCUCCUUAUCCUUUUUCUUGUUUUUGUUUUUUCUUUUCUUUUUUUCGGAGCUGAGGACCGAACCCAGGGCCUUCCUCCUUAUCCUUUUAACGGAUCUUCUUCAUUUCUUUUACACUUUCUUGCUCACUGUGCAAGACACCCCAAGCUUACCUGGUAUCUUCCAGGCCGCAGCCCUUCAAUCAGCCAUUUUCUAAGGAGUAUUCGCUUAGAAGUCACGAUCUAGGCCUUAAAUGUGUUACUUGCUCUUCUGUUCUUUGGGCCCAUUAACACAUCUAGCUAGGGAACAUGGGAAGUACAUGUGCGUACUUAUAAAAAAUAAUGUACCCAUUUAGAACUAUUUUCCAGACUCAUCUGGGUAAAUCCAAAAUGAUAUCCCUCUUACCUCCAAUUCUAGUCCACUUCAGUCCUCUCAUUUCCUGUGCGUGUAGUGACUAUCUCUAACUGGUUAGAAAGCUUGGGUCCCCAUGACUUAUCUAAUCAUUUAUUCCCUGUGUCAACAACCUUCCCUGACACCCUGUGAAAUAUAGACGUGGCCAUUCCAGAGAGAUCCACAAGCCUCUGCAAUUUCCUGAGUAACAUGGCUGCUGGAAGAAUCUUUUGUUCUUAAUAUGUGGUCAUUGACCCUGGUUCCUGACUCAGAGGUCUUUAGACCUGUGUAAUUUCCUGAGUUACUUGCACAUCUAACCCAGGGCCCCGAAAUCCUUGGAAUUUCCCUAAGAUAGGCGCUGUUAUAAAGAGGCAACUCUUUGACGUGUUCCUGGAAAGCCUCAAGAUGGAGCUGGUUGCCAAGGGAACUAGCCACGUGAUCAGAUGGGGCAAGAGCCGCUGAAGGUGGAUCUGGUCAUGAAUGGCCGGCACUGUAAGCAAUACUGUUUCCUAAUGAAGCCUCUAUAAAACUUCCAAGGUUGAGGUCCAAAGAGCUUCCGAGCAGGUAGCCGACCGAGGUGGUGGAGACUCGGAGAGCAUUGGACCUCUGCAGCCUUCCUCCCAUCUCCCGUCUAACCGUCAACCGCACCCCUUGUAUUAGACUCUUUCAUAUAUGGCUGAUUAUCAGUAAAGUGUUUCCCUGAGCAUGUGAGCUGCCCGGGCCAACUAGGCAAACCUAAGGAAGGUCUGUGGAAACUCAGACCUCGGGCUUGAGUCUGAAGCAUCCCUUCGCACAGCUUGAGAAGUGGGGCAGUGUUAUGCUACUGCACCUACAAUCCGGGUUCCGUCUCUUCUGGGCAGAUAGUGUCAGAAUUGAGUUGUAGGGCUCCCAGUCUGAGUCCACUGAUGAGCCUGGUGUCAGAAGUGUUGAAUGUGUGGCUGAGAGUCGGAAAGACACAGUUUUUCCUCCUGUGUCUUGCACUGUUGUGUAACGUGUCUGUCCGUUGUGUGCCUCCCCGGGCCCCAUCCGGUCAGUGUGAUCUUCUUUCUCGCCGCACUGCAGGAGAUAUGACAGAUGUGUCAAUCUGGCUUAGACCAGUGCCCUUGGUCUCCUCAGGCGACUUGACCAAAGCACAGUGCAGGCUUUCUCUCUUCUUUCCCUACCCCUUGCCCCUUGUGUUUACUUCUCUUAACUUCCAAAGCCUGACACCAGGGUGCCUCUCUAAAGGGACUUCAUUCUCCUGUCUCAGACUACUCCACAGGUGUCCUUUUCUUGGGACAAUGCUCUCUCCACCCCAGUAAAGCCCCUUUAUGUGCAGAAUCCUUCUUAUCCCUCUUGGCCUUCACCUCCUGUUCCAGACCAAUUUCCCACCCAAACCCGAGACCACCGUAGCUCAGAAACCUCCACCUCCUUCAGCUCCAGCCUCCGUUUGCUUUCUAUGGCUAUCACAAAAGAACCGAGGUUGGACACUUUAAAGAAACAGGUAUUUAAAUUAAUUCACAGUUCUGGAGACCGACACUCUAAGAUCAGAUGGUUUCUGGUAAGGAACUUCUUGGCUACCUCACACCAAGCCAGAUGGCAUCUUGGCAGGGGGGAGAGAGAGAGAGAGAGAGAGAGAGAGAGAGAGAGAGAGAGAGAGAGAGAGCGCUACCUUUUUAGAACAGCAGCACAUUCUCCUGAAAACAAACAAACGCCCUAAUUCCUUCCACCAGCAACACCUCUGAUGAUUUAACAAGUGCCCUGAACUCUAGCCCUUAAGGGUUCCACACUUUCCAACAUCUCAUGGAGCACAGAGCUUCCAACAAGGGAAGACACACCCAAACCACAACAGCCCUGCACAUGGGUUGGUUUGGGAGGAGAGGAAGGGAAGAGGUGACACACAGUUAAUCACUUUUCAAGGUUUCUUUUAUUAUUAUUAUUUUGAGACAAAGUCUCAUGUAGUCCAGGUUGGCCUUCAACUGUCUACAUGGCUGAAAACUGACAGCAGACUUCUGAUCUUCUUGUCUUUACUUCUUGACCACUGGCAUUGCAAGUGUACACCAUGCCUGGCUCAUGCAGUGCUGGGAUCAAACCCAGGGCCUCCUGCAUACCAGGCACUCAAUCUAUCAACUGAGCCACAUCCCCAUUCCUUUCCUUCACUUGCAACAAACAACUCUCCUGAGAUUCAGCUCCAUGGGGCGUUUGCCCAUAUCUGUUUGUUAUCACCUCAGCUACAUUUACAUUGGCCAGGGAGCCGAAGCUGCCUGCCCAACUCGUUCUUUUAGCUUUUGUCUUUGUUCUUUUGAGACAGGGACUUGCUAUGUAGCCCAGGCUAGCCUCCAACGCAUACUGUUGCUCCUCACAGUUUCCCAAGGGUCAAUUACAAUCACGGCCACCGCAUCACUUCCGGCUCUUUGUGGUGCCACCCCCUCUUUUCCAGCCGAACCUCCACGGCUCAUGCAGGGCAGGGGCUAACCGUGGAUCCCCAAAGUCUCCCUCUCACCAUUUCUGUCAGCAAGUGCUUCAGGAUAGCAGAUAGGGCGUGCUAUUUUGGGAAAGGGCAGCUGCUUUAAACGCUCUGAUCCCCACCCCCAUUUUGCUCUCCCGUUCCCUGCUAGACUGUUUGCUGAUCUUUCCAGAUUAUAUUUGUGUGCGUGUGUGUUCUGGGGGACCAAACUCAGGCCCCUGUGUUCCUGUAGCACUUACUGAGCCCUCCCCCUGGAAUUCCAACUGCCUCUAAAUGUCUUAGAUUUUAGAAUUAUAUGUAUUUCCGUGUGUGUGUACCAUAUAGUAGGUGUGGAGGGUGGAGGUCAGAGGAAACUUUCAGGAGUUUUCUUCUUUUACCUUUUGGGUCUGAAGAUCAGAACCAGUCAGGUUGGCAGCUCAUUUACCUCCCGAGCCACCUCUGCCCAUGCAUUUAGUCCAGAUCCUCCUCCCCGCCCCCAACAAGGGAAGAUAGUUCAAAUGUCCUAAAGCUACACAAGCCCAGGGUCACUUUUCCUGGUGCACAUCCCAAGCUGUCUGUACCUUACUUGUUCAAAUUCUUCUCUCAGGCUGGUCUUCCCAUUGGAUCCCCAAAGAUCACAGCCCUGGCAUCCUUAAAGGCAACCCACACGGCACCCAAGCUUUGCCAUUCUUCCAGCUCUGAUCGCUGGCAUCUGUGUCAUAUGUCUUUUUCUGUCUUAUAUUCUAAUUACCACCAUUGUGCUUUGAAUAGGAAUGGCCCCAUGAGACUCCUGCGUUUGAAUGCUUGGUCCGAAGGGAGUGGUUUACAAUUUACAGGUUUAGUCCAUUAACAUCGUGGCGGGAAGGAUGGUGAGAAACAGGAAGACAUGGUGCUGGAGAGAUAGCUGAGAGUUCUAUAUCUGUAUCCACAGGCGACAGGAAGAGAGUGUCUCACCAGGCAUGGCUUUAAUACCUCAUCACCUCCACAGUGACAUGCUUCCUCCAAUAAGACCACACCUACCUUCACAAGGCCACACCUCCUGACAGUGCCACGCCCUACGAGGCAAGCAUUCAAACACACGAGUCUAUGGGGGCCAUACCUAUUCAAAGCACUACAAAUCGAAACAUCAAAAAAGUUUAUAUAGUUUUCUUUCUCCGAGACAAGGUCUCACUUCCAGGCUAUCCUGGAACUAUGUAGAUCAGGCUGGCCUCGAACUCAUAGAGAUAGGUUUGCCUCUGCCUCCUUAGUGCUGGGAUUAAAGGCAUAUCCCAACAUACUUGGUCAAGUCUGCACAUGUCUUACUGGCCCCCUUUUUGUAGCCAACAUAAGACCUCAGUUUUCUACUUUAGGGAACAUAAAGAUACAUAUUUUCCUCAUCUGAAGGGCAAGAAAGUUAAAGUGUUUGCCGUCCUCUCCCAGGAUGUAGUGCGCUGUGUUAGUAUCCCACGAGCUAAAACCCGUCCACGCUGCAAAUCCAGGCUUGCCCGUGUCAGUCCACAUUUUUAUCUUGCCCAAUAAUGCUCCAUCCUAGCCUCUUAAAGUUAUGAAAUAUCGACAUAUUUUCAUUUCCCACAGAAUAUAUUACCCGUUACUUUCCUAUUGCGUAAAAUCCUAUUUUCAUCUGCAGAGACAUGGCCCCAAUUCCUCACUCCUGGUAGGAAUUACAUAAGGACAGCAGGAGAGCAGCUGCUUCCUUUGUGCCCGGUCUUAGCCUGGAAUCUCAUAAUCUGUUCCAAAGCUGGGCAUUAAGGAAAACCUGGCGAGGCUGCUCUCUCUCUCUCUCUCUCUCUCUCUCACACACACACACACACACACACACACAACCAUUUAGAGCAAGAGGACUCAAUCGGUUAUAAACAACAGUGGUUGUUACCUAACGGUAUCUUCUAAUGCUCGAACCCUCCUUGCCACCCUUGGGGUCAUGGGGUACCAUGGAUCUGUAAGAGUGAGACUUCGCCAAGUUUGACUUUGACCCUGUCACAUCUCUCAGUGCCGUCUGCUACUGAUCCUGUUGUGUUCCGCAGCCGAGAAUAUAGUCUUCUGGUAUUUUCCUCACGCUCAACCACACUGCUUUAAAUGUCUGUUUGUCCCUACUGACCUAGUCGUGAAGUUAUUAGAAUCAGCUGUUUUAGGAAUUUUAAUCUUUGCAUAGAAGAGAAAGAGGGGGCUGGAGAGAAGGCCAAGACUUUCCCUGCGGUUCAGAGGAAGGCUUCAUGCCAAGGUCCUUACCCUCGUGAUCUGUGAGUGUGACCUACAUAGUGAGAAAACCACUGCAUAUGUAGUAAAGUCAAGAGUUUUGAGGUGGGCCAUGGAUACAGUGGCAUAUACCCUUAGGGGACAGAGGCAGAGGGAGGGUUGACACACUGAAGAGGCAAAGGCAAUGUGGCAGCAGAUGGAGAAACCAGGGAGUGCUGACCUUAUCAGGAGCCCAGCACAACAAAGGACCAGGCUCUCCUGAGCUCUGCUGAAAGGAAGGCAGCUCUGCUGAAGCCCUUUCCCACCAGGGAGACGAGCUUCCAGCCUACACACGGCGAGUGGUCACAUUUCUGCUGAAUUCAGCCACCAAGCUGCGGUCAGCCACAAGCAAAUAAAACAGCAGCUUAUCCCUGAAAUGUUUCUAUCUUCGCUGCUUUCCUUUUUGAGCCUAUAUAUUUUUAAAACCCCAUUUAUCCUUUGCAAUGUGUUUUCUCUAAGAAAAUAACUUUUUCAUCUUCUUUUCAAUUUCCUUAGAUGCUGGUUUUUGAACUAAUUUAACAAACUUUUAGGACUCAUCUAUGAUGGCCCUGGAACGUUUAGCAGACACAAAGCAAAAACAGAGAGCCUCUCCUUAAGUUUUAAUAAUGUUCAUACCCAGUGUAUGGUGAAACACAAAGAUAAGGGCCGAAGUCAGGACUGACUGGGGCAGCGAUGAAGAAGGGAGGAAGGAAAGAAGAAACGUGAGUGGCCUGGGGUUCUGGGGUGGGGCCGGGCCUUGAAUGAACAAGCAGACCUUGCCUGGAGACUCCUGGACAAACAAAGAAGACUUCAGAAUUCAUCAUCUUUCCCGAAACACGCCCCCCUCCCCCAUUUCAGUUCCUUCUGCAUUGUACAAGGGGCCUAGAUCCUUCUUGUCCAGUGUUAUGGAUUCAAGCUAGGGCCUCAUGAAUGCUAGGCCAGUUUUAAACCACUGAGC